UUGCAGAGGAUGCUUUUGGCGCGGUGCCUUCCGAGUUCCCUGGAACGGGACGCCAUAGAGGGUGAGAGCCCCGUCUGGUCGGACACCAAGCCAGUGUAAAGCUCCUUCGACGAGUCGAGUAGUUUGGGAAUGCUGCUCUAAAUGGGAGGUAUAUGUCUUCUAAAGCUAAAUACCGGCCAGAGACCGAUAGCGCACAAGUAGAGUGAUCGAAAGAUGAAAAGCACUUUGAAAAGAGGGUUAAACAGUACGUGAAAUUGUUGAAAGGGAAGCGUUUGUGACCAGACUUGGGCCCGGUGAAUCAUCCAGCGUUCUCGCUGGUGCACUUUGCCGGGCUCAGGCCAGCAUCAGUUCGCCGCGGGGGACAAAAGCUUCGGGAACGUGGCUCCCUCGGGAGUGUUAUAGCCCGUUGCAUAAUACCCUGCGGUGGACUGAGGUUCGCGCUCCGCANGGAUGCUGGCGUAAUGGUCAUCAGCGACCCGUCUUGAAACACGGACCAAGGAGUCGUCUUCNUAUGCGAGUGUUCGGGUGUCAAACCCCUACGCGUAAUGAAAGUGAACGCA
rnacentral:rRNA from 1 species